AACGAACGCUGGCGGCAGGCCUAACACAUGCAAGUCGAACGCCCUGGCAACAGGGAGUGGCAGACGGGUGAGUAACGCGUGGGAACGUGCCCUUCGGUUCGGAAUAACUCAGGGAAACUUGAGCUAAUACCGGAUACGUGCGAGAGCAGAAAGAUUUAUCGCCGAAGGGUCGGCCCGCGUCCGAUUAGCUAGUUGGUGAGGUAACGGCUCACCAAGGCGACGAUCGGUAGCUGGUCUGAGAGGAUGAUCAGCCACACUGGGACUGAGACACGGCCCAGACUCCUACGGGAGGCAGCAGUGGGGAAUAUUGGACAAUGGGCGCAAGCCUGAUCCAGCCAUGCCGCGUGAGUGAUGAAGGCCCUAGGGUUGUAAAGCUCUUUCACCAGGGACGAUAAUGACGGUACCUGGAUAAGAAGCCCCGGCUAACUUCGUGCCAGCCGCCGCGGUAA
rnacentral:rRNA from 1 species